rnacentral:misc_RNA from 1 species
GUUUCUGUUUAUCAGCUAACCAUAUCAUAGCUUUGUGGUUCUCAGUGAUGAGACGAGCUCAUUUUUUGUGCAAUUUUUGAUCCCUAGUUUCUUAAAAACCUUACCGUUCAUUUUUUUGGUAUAAUUGUUAUUUUUAUUGGUUUGAUUACUAGGAAUUACAAGGCGCAAUGGAUGAAUGAUUAGGAAUUUGUGUUUUGUGCAUUUUAAGAUUAUGCUUUUUGAAACCCUAAUUUUCUCUUUCUAUACUUUACUUGGGAUCUUUUGUGCUGGGUCGUUGUUUGAGAGUUUGUCGGAGAUUGGAUGAGUAAUUGGUGAUUUAUGAUUGUUGUCUAAUGAUUUGUGCUUUUUAAACCCUAAUUUUCCUUCGAAAACCUAAUUAUCUUCCUUCUGUUGGCUUAGGUGCAGUUUUCCCCUGGUUUUGGUUGCUAAGUGUUAGUAGGAUAUCGU